CUGAUACAAUGACUGCAUAGUCCAGCAGAUUAAACAUGAGGAACUAUCAGCAUUGUCUUUUGCUCCUAUCUGAUGUAUUGG